CUGCCGGUGACAAUCCGGAGGAAGGUGGGGAUGACGUCAAGUCAUCAUGGCCCUUACGGCCAGGGCUACACACGUGCUACAAUGGUCGGUACAAAGGGUUGCCAAGCCGCGAGGUGGAGCUAAUCCCAUAAAACCGAUCGUAGUCCGGAUCGCAGUCUGCAACUCGACUGCGUGAAGUCGGAAUCGCUAGUAAUCGUGAAUCAGAAUGUCACGGUGAAUACGUUCCCGGGCCUUGUACACACCGCCCGUCACACCAUGGGAGUGGGUUGCUCCAGAAGUAGCUAGUCUAACCGCAAGGGGGACGGUUACCACGGAGUGAUUCAUGACUGGGGUGAAGUCGUAACAAGGUAGCCGU
rnacentral:rRNA from 1 species